rnacentral:rRNA from 1 species
UACGGAGGGUGCAAGCGUUAUCCGGAUUCACUGGGCUUAAAGGGUGCGUAGGUGGGGUGGUAAGUCAGUGGUGAAAUCUCCGGGCUUAACUCGGAAACUGCCGUUGAUACUAUCAUUCUUGAAUAUUGUGGAGGUAAGCGGAAUAUGUCAUGUAGCGGUGAAAUGCUUAGAUAUGACAUAGAACACCGAUAGCGAAGGCAGCUUGCUACACAAUUAUUGACACUGAGGCUCGAAAGCGCGGGGAUCAAACAGG